rnacentral:rRNA from 1 species
AGAGUUUGAUCAUGGCUCAGGACGAACGCUGGCGGCGUGCCUAAUACAUGCAAGUAGAACGCUGAAAGAGGAGCUUGCUUCUCUGGAUGAGUUGCGAACGGGUGAGUAACGCGUAGGUAACCUGCCUGGUAGCGGGGGAUAACUAUUGGAAACGAUAGCUAAUACCGCAUAAUAGUAGAUGUUGCAUGACAUUUGCUUAAAAGGUGCAAUUGCAUCACUACCAGAUGGACCUGCGUUGUAUUAGCUAGUUGGUGGGGUAACGGCUCACCAAGGCGACGAUACAUAGCCGACCUGAGAGGGUGAUCGGCCACACUGGGACUGAGACACGGCCCAGACUCCUACGGGAGGCAGCAGUAGGGAAUCUUCGGCAAUGGACGAAAGUCUGACCGAGCAACGCCGCGUGAGUGAAGAAGGUUUUCGGAUCGUAAAGCUCUGUUGUAAGAGAAGAACGAGUGUGAGAGUGGAAAGUUCACACUGUGACGGUAUCUUACCAGAAAGGGACGGCUAACUACGUGCCAGCAGCCGCGGUAAUACGUAGGUCCCGAGCGUUGUCCGGAUUUAUUGGGCGUAAAGCGAGCGCAGGCGGUUAGAUAAGUCUGAAGUUAAAGGCUGUGGCUUAACCAUAGUACGCUUUGGAAACUGUUUAACUUGAGUGCAAGAGGGGAGAGUGGAAUUCCAUGUGUAGCGGUGAAAUGCGUAGAUAUAUGGAGGAACACCGGUGGCGAAAGCGGCUCUCUGGCUUGUAACUGACGCUGAGGCUCGAAAGCGUGGGGAGCAAACAGGAUUAGAUACCCCGGUAGUCCAA